UACGAAGGGGGCUAGCGUUGUUCGGAAUCACUGGGCGUAAAGCGCACGUAGGCGGAUUGUUAAGUCGGUGGUGAAAUCCUGGAGCUCAACUCCAGAACUGCCUUCGAUACUGGGAAGCUCGAGUCCGGGAGAGGUGAGUGGAACUGCGAGUGUAGAGGUAAAAUUCGUAGAUAUUCGCAAGAACACCAGUGGCGAAGGCGGCUCACUGGCCCGGUACUGACGCUGAGGUGCGAAAGCGUGGGGAGCAAACAGG
rnacentral:rRNA from 1 species